rnacentral:rRNA from 1 species
GGUAGAGAGGUGCUUGCACCUCUUGAGAGCGGCGGACGGGUGAGUAAUGCCUAGGAAUCUGCCUGGUAGUGGGGGAUAACGUUCGGAAACGGACGCUAAUACCGCAUACGUCCUACGGGAGAAAGCAGGGGACCUUCGGGCCUUGCGCUAUCAGAUGAGCCUAGGUCGGAUUAGCUAGUUGGUGAGGUAAUGGCUCACCAAGGCGACGAUCCGUAACUGGUCUGAGAGGAUGAUCAGUCACACUGGAACUGAGACACGGUCCAGACUCCUACGGGAGGCAGCAGUGGGGAAUAUUGGACAAUGGGCGAAAGCCUGAUCCAGCCAUGCCGCGUGUGUGAAGAAGGUCUUCGGAUUGUAAAGCACUUUAAGUUGGGAGGAAGGGUACUUACCUAAUACGUGAGUAUUUUGACGUUACCGACAGAAUAAGCACCGGCUAACUCUGUGCCAGCAGCCGCGGUAAUACAGAGGGUGCAAGCGUUAAUCGGAAUUACUGGGCGUAAAGCGCGCGUAGGUGGUUCGUUAAGUUGAAUGUGAAAUCCCCGGGCUCAACCUGGGAACUGCAUCCAAAACUGGCGAGCUAGAGUAUGGUAGAGGGUGGUGGAAUUUCCUG